UGUGCGUCAGCCAUUUGGAAAUUGUCAGCACUUCGGGGGGUUAUUUAGUUAUUAUAUAUAUACUACAUAGUGUGUUGUGGUCUGUGUUAAAACUUAAAUGAUCGUGUCUUGUCCUAUCGUGGCUACAUGCUACAUCACGUGUGUCUGCAACACGUCGCCUGCCAUUAACUUGCAUAUUGCAGUCAUAUUGCAUUAAACAUACCGUCAUUGUUUAGGCAUGUGGAAUAGAAAAACACUGCAUCGCGAUGUUGUGCACAAUCUACAGAUAAACUUUUAUCUAGCUAGAAUAACAAAUCCCACCAAAAACAUUUUCACAAACUCUACACUUUACAACUCCAUUAAUUGGUACUACUUAUCAUAUAGAAUUACGCAUGAUAUACUAUCUAUACGAAGUAAUUAAAUGGAAAUCGCAAGAAAUCGUAAUUAGACGCCCCAAAUUCGCAAUAUCUGCUAAAGAUUGUUGCAAUCGCAAUGACGUCCCGACGUUACUCCGGAUACCUACGAAGCAAUUGGGAUGGAGCUGCACGCGUUGCACGCAAUUAAUCUGCCUUUUUUGUAUGUAUGCUGCCAAGGUUUAAUCCAUUAGCAAUGUCAUGUGGAUUGAAUACUCAUAUAACCAAUAUGUGGAUUGAAAACUCGUAAUACCCAAGGGGUUUUUUGAAAACUUUAGAUAAUGUCUCUUGAACUGAAAUCGACUAGUUUAUGUUUUAUACGUUUUUAAAAUUUUAUUGAGUAUAAUCCAUUACUACAUUCUAUAUAUGUACUUUAUAUCAAAUUAAGGCAUAUGAUGGAGCUCUCUACAGUAGUGGGGUCGAUACGCUGGGCUGAGAUAUAUUCGAGGAUCACGUUUCAGAAGUAUUGAUGGGUCUCAAAAAUCAAACCCUUCGACAAAAGAGAUUAGCAGUUAUAGGAUCAUCAUGGACUGAAACAUAUAGUUCUGCACAGACAGGUUUUAAUAUAGUUCAGAACUGGUUAAACAACAAUUUAUUAACCCUAAAUUUAGAAAAAACCAAGCUGAUUCAAUUCUCCAUACAAGAAUCCAGUCAAUUAAAGAAUCCUGAUCUGAAAAUAGUUGCAAAAAAUUCGCAAUCAAACUACGCCAUCGAACACACUAACUGUAUAAAAUAUCUCGGCAUUAUGAUAGAUAAAACACAUAUAAAUAUUUUAUCAUCUCGCGUUCGUAAACUCAUUUAUGUUUUUAAACAGUUAAGGCACGUUGCAGACGUUAACACUAUUAAAAUGGUAUAUUUCGCGCUAUGUCAAUCUAUAUUAACGUACUGCAUCACCUCAUGGGGCGGAGCUGCAAAAACGCACUUCUUGCAAAUUGAAAGAGCCCAAAGAUCCUUACUUAAGGUAUCAUUGUUUAAGCCUUUUAGAUUUCCAACUCAAGAACUUUAUAAAGUUGCUAAUUUAUUGACCGUGCGGCAACUUUUUAUACUUCAAACCGUAAUGAAACAACAUAGAUUGACCCCCUAUAUUGCCGAAAAUCGAAGACGCAAUCAUCUAGCAGCAAAAACAAACCAAUAUAAAACAAAAUUUAGUCACAGAUUUCUUGGUUUUCAAGGUCCUUAUCUUUACAACAAGCUUCACAAAGCGCUAUCCAUUCAUCACCUAAACACAUUUAAAGUUAAACAGAAAAUUUACUACAAGUUUUACAAUAAAUAAGUCGCAAUUAUACACCCACUUUCUUUUGCACAGGAACCAAACUUGACAUCUCACACACACACCACGCUUAUGAAGAUAUAUAUUUGUUUAAAAUACUUUUUAUUUUUCUUAUACAUAACUUUAGUUUAUAAGAUAUGUUUUUUCUCGUACUACCUAUGUACUAUUAUUACGUUUAGAUAAUAUAAUCAAGAGGCGGGGCCUGAUGACUUGUAAUACAGGUGUAUUCCUAGUACAGGCGUCAGCUCCCACAAAUUCAAGUUGUUAAUUUUGGUACUUUAAUUUAAUGUAAUUAAUAUUAAGAUUUCUUGUUUUGUGGAGAGAAAUAAACACUUAUUAUUAUUAUUA